rnacentral:lncRNA from 10 species
UGCCUGUUUGUAGAUUUUUGUCUUCUAUCCUAAAACUUCUGUUUUGUGGCCCAGGGAUCUGCAGUUUUCAUAAAUACUUCAGAUGGACAUUGUUAAUAAACUCAAGGCCUUGCUAAAGGAGACUUGGAGGCUACGGUGCAGGAGUUGUCUCCAACCCAUCCAUGUGGUGGUCAGUGUCCAGGAACUGGGACAAUGAGAUAAAAGUCAAGAGACCCAGCCCGGGGACAAACUUAGAAGGUAAAAAUAUCAAGAAAUACUGAAGCCCAUGUCCCAAAACAACAGUCCUUUAGGUGGAUCACACAUUCUCCACUACGCCAA